rnacentral:rRNA from 1 species
GUAGCUUGCUACCUGACCUAGCGGCGGACGGGUGAGUAAUGCUUAGGAAUCUGCCUAUUAGUGGGGGACAACAUUCCGAAAGGAAUGCUAAUACCGCAUACGCCCUACGGGGGAAAGCAGGGGAUCUUCGGACCUUGCGCUAAUAGAUGAGCCUAAGUCAGAUUAGCUAGUUGGUGGGGUAAAGGCCUACCAAGGCGACGAUCUGUAGCGGGUCUGAGAGGAUGAUCCGCCACACUGGGACUGAGACACGGCCCAGACUCCUACGGGAGGCAGCAGUGGGGAAUAUUGGACAAUGGGCGAAAGCCUGAUCCAGCCAUGCCGCGUGUGUGAAGAAGGCCUUUUGGUUGUAAAGCACUUUAAGCGAGGAGGAGGCUACUUGGAUUAAUACUCUAGGAUAGUGGACGUUACUCGCAGAAUAAGCACCGGCUAACUCUGUGCCAGCAGCCGCGGUAAUACAGAGGGUGCGAGCGUUAAUCGGAUUUACUGGGCGUAAAGCGUGCGUAGGCGGCUUUUUAAGUCGGAUGUGAAAUCCCUGAGCUUAACUUAUGAAUUGCAUUCGAUACUGGGAA